GGGGAAUAUUGGACAAUGGGCGAAAGCCUGAUCCAGCAAUGCCGCGUGAGUGAUGAAGGCCUUAGGGUUGUAAAGCUCUUUUACCAGGGAUGAUAAUGACAGUACCUGGAGAAUAAGCUCCGGCUAACUCCGUGCCAGCAGCCGCGGUAAUACGGAGGGAGCUAGCGUUGUUCGGAAUUACUGGGCGUAAAGCGUGCGUAGGCGGUUACUCAAGUCAGAGGUGAAAGCCCGGGGCUCAACCCCGGAGCUGCCUUUGAAACUAGGUAACUAGAAUCUUGGAGAGGUCAGUGGAAUUCCGAGUGUAGAGGUGAAAUUCGUAGAUAUUCGGAAGAACACCAGUGGCGAAGGCGACUGACUGGACAAGCAUUGACGCUGAGGCACGAAAGCGUGGGGAGCAAAC
rnacentral:rRNA from 1 species